AAGUCGUAACAAGGUUUCCGUAGGUGAACCUGCGGAAGGAUCAUUAACACGUAUCCAACGUUAAAAACCCCGUGAACCUUUAAAACGCUGUGUCCCAGGACUAAAUCCAGUGGCCUUAGCAAUCCCUGUACUCGUGGGAGAAAUGUAAUGAGAAGGGACUUCUGAGGUUGGCUUUCUGGUUUCAGACCGCGUCGUAGUGACUUUUUUUCCCCAAGCAAUCCGUGAGUGAAAGUGUCAUUGGUUGCGUAAGGAUUUCGCCUAGCGAUCACUGGAGGUCGAUCACCGACCGGUGGACUAAGUCACAGGGCUUCGGCUCCCUAAUAACCCCCAUUCAAUUUGCCGCUCCGCGCUAACAACGCCGGGCACUUAAAAACGUACUAAACAACUGUUAACAAUGGAUAUCUUGGUUCUG
rnacentral:misc_RNA from 1 species